AUAUCAGCAUUAAUAACUUAUAAUAUUUCUUAAUAGGAUCACCAACCUUAUGUCAGGUUCUAAAAGGCACCAAAGGUCAGGAUAUACUAGAAGUGGCAGAAAAAUCAGUCAACAAAGCAGUUGUGCCAGAAUCCUGUAAGACAGUAGACCAUAGAAAUAUAGACGUGUUUGGUCUAUCCUUUGAAGAUCUCCAUAGCGCACUUUGCAGAAAAAUUUACUCCAGACUCUGUUUCAACAAAGGUGCUAAAGAACGAGGGACAUACAACCAAAUGCAGAAACCAGAAUACUGGCCAAAAGAAGUCCCUUUCUGCUCUCACUCUGCCAAAGGACCUGAUGGAAAAGGGCGGAUGAUUUCGAUCAAUCAAAUCAAAGAAGUUCUAGAAUGUUUCAGGAGCUACUGCGCAGAGGUACUUAAGGAAUUUAUAACAUUCAGAAAUAAAGCCAAAAUAAUCU